rnacentral:rRNA from 1 species
CGCGUAGGUGGCUUGUCAGGUCCGGUGUGAAAUCCUGGGGCUCAACUCCAGGCGUGCAUCGGAAACCGGCCUGCUAGAGUCUGGGAGAGGAGAGUGGAAUUCCUGGUGUAGCGGUGAAAUGCGUAGAUAUCAGGAGGAACACCGGUAGCGAAGGCGGCUCUCUGGAACAGUACCGACACUGAGGCGCGAAAGCUAGGGGAGCGAACA